UCGGUUAGGAAUGAACCAGUGGGGAAAAUGAGUCAGGAAUGAAGGGAAAGGGACUGGAGAAAAAUAUCCCGGCAUCCAAACUUCCCACCGGUGUUUUCAGAAGAAUCAUCUUCACCUCACCGAGGACUUUGUAAGGUCUGGAAAUAAACCGAGGAACCCUGGGAAGGCCGGGAAACAUCA